AACCCCCGGUUAGGCGAGGUUGUAGGGCGGCUCCUUCAACCUCGCCGCUUG
rnacentral:antisense_RNA from 1 species